rnacentral:rRNA from 1 species
AGCUCCAGUAGCGUAUAUUAAUGUUGCUGCAGUUAAAAAGCUCGUAGUUGGAUUUCUGGUGGAUGUGAGUGGUCCGGCUUAGGCUGAGUACCGCAAUAUCAUCCGUCAUCUAAUCACUGGUUGGGUUUCGGCUCAGCUAGGAUUCUUUUACUUUGAAAAAAUUAGAGUGUUUAAAGCAAGUUUAUUGAAUACAUUAGCAUGGAAUAAUAAUAUAGGACUUUAGUACUAUUUUUGUUGGUUUCUAGGACUGAAGUAAUGAUUGAUAGGGAUAGUUGGGGGUGCUAGUAUUGGACGGCCAGAGGUGAAAUUCUCAGAUUCGUUCAAGACUAACUUAUGCGAAAGCAUUCACCAAGGAUGUCUUCUUUA